rnacentral:rRNA from 1 species
GAUGAACGCUAGCGGCAGGCCUAAUACAUGCAAGUCGAACGAGAUUUAUGACUUCGGUUAUAAUGAAAGUGGCGCACGGGUGCGUAACGCGUAUGCAACCUACCUUUUACAGGGGGAUAGCCCGGGGAAACUCGGAUUAAUACCCCAUGGUAUCAUAAAAUCGCAUGGUUUAAUGAUUAAAGAUUUAUCGGUAAAAGAUGGGCAUGCGUCUGAUUAGCUAGAUGGUGAGGUAAAGGCUCACCAUGGCGAUGAUCAGUAGGGGUUCUGAGAGGAUGAUCCCCCACACUGGUACUGAGACACGGACCAGACUCCUACGGGAGGCAGCAGUAGGGAAUAUUGGUCAAUGGGCGAGAGCCUGAACCAGCCAUGCCGCGUGUAGGAUGACGGCCUUCUGGGUUGUAAACUACUUUUCUACAGGAAGAAAACGGCUAUGCGUAGCCAAUUGACGGUACUGUAGGAAUAAGCACCGGCUAACUCCGUGCCAGCAGCCGCGGUAAUACGGAGGGUGCGAGCGUUGUCCGGAUUUAUUGGGUUUAAAGGGUGCGUAGGUGGCUAUUUAAGCCAGUGGUGAAAGCCCAUCGCUUAACGAUGGAACUGCCAUUGGAACUGAAUAGCUUGAGUAUCGUUGAAGUAGGCGGAAUUUAUGGUGUAGCGGUGAAAUGCAUAGAUACCAUAAAGAACACCGAUAGCGUAGGCAGCUUGCUAAGCGAUAACUGACACUGAGGCACGAAAGCAUGGGGAGCGAACAGGAUUAGAUACCCUGGUAGUCCAUGCCGUAAACGAUGAUUACUCGCUGUUG